AUUGAACGCUGGCGGCAGGCCUAACACAUGCAAGUCGAACGAGUGGCGGACGGGUGAGUAAUGUCUUGGAAACUGCCCGAUGGAGGGGGAUAACUACUGGAAACGUUAGCUAAUACCGCAUACUAUCGUAUGUGCCCAGAUGGGAUUAGCUAGUGGGUGGGGUAACGGCUCACCUAGGCGACGAUCCCUAGCUGGGCUGAGAGGAUGACCAGCCACACUGGAACUGAGACACGGUCCAGACUCCUACGGGAGGCAGCAGUGGGGAAUAUUGCACAAUGGGCGAAAGCCUGAUGCAGCCAUGCCGCGUGUAUGAAGAAGGCCUUCGGGUUGUAAAGUACUUUCAGCGAGGAGGCGGUACUCGAAGAAGAAGCACCGGCUAACUCCGUGCCAGCAGCCGCGGUAAUAC
rnacentral:rRNA from 1 species